UACGAAGGGGGCUAGCGUUGCUCGGAAUCACUGGGCGUAAAGCGCACGUAGGCGGCUUUCUAAGUCAGGGGUGAAAUCCCGGGGCUCAACCUCGGAACUGCCUUUGAUACAGCAAGUCUUGAGUUCGAGAGAGGUGGGUGGAAUUCCUAGUGUAGAGGUGAAAUUCGUAGAUAUUAGGAAGAACACCGGUGGCGAAGGCGGCCCACUGGCUCGAUACUGACGCUGAGGUGCGAAAGCGUGGGGAGCAAACAGG
rnacentral:rRNA from 1 species